UCCAUCUAAAUUAAUUAAAUACAACCCCAGCGCCUGCGUCCCUUUCCCUGCAAUUGUUGAUAUAUCCAUUUCCUCUCAGAUUUAGGGUUCAUGGGGUUUUCUUGGUUUGAUGUGGGUUUGUUUAGCAAAGGACUUCCCCACAGAGUUUAUUGGCAUUCUGUCCACCUCCGUUCCCGGCUUCAGCGAGUGUCUGGUUGGGGUUUUAUAUGAUGAUGAUGGGGAGGUGGGCAUUCUGCCAAUUCAGCUCUGUCGGAUUCUCUUUGUAACACCCCUCAUUACAAAGAAGUUGAAAUCAAGGCUUGUUUACAAGCUCACGGGGCCGAAAUCAUAAUGAUGAUGAACGCAAAGGGCGGCGCGCGUGUGUUUCAGUCGGCGGUUCGCGGCGGCGAUUGGAGGCCACGGAUUGUUUAUGGACGGGUGUUGGUUUGUUUGAAGGUUUGCGUAUUUUCUGGGUUUAUUUUUUGGUAUUGGAAUUUGAGCCUAUGAAGAUCUGAUUUGAUCUUCUUCUUUUAGCUUUGGAGUUAGGGUUUGGUGUUUUAAGAUAUGAUUUAAAGUAUUCAAAAAAAAAUAUAAUUCAAAUAUUCAAACUACC